rnacentral:rRNA from 1 species
GACGAACCGAGCGAACGUUGUUCGGAAUCACUGGGCUUAAAGGGCGCGUAGGCGGGCAUUCAAGUCUGUGGUGAAAUCCGGCAGCUUAACUGUCGAAUUGCCAUGGAUACUGGGUGUCUCGAGGGAGGCAGGGUGCGCGGAACUAAUGGUGGAGCGGUGAAAUGCGUUGAUAUCAUUAGGAACUCCGGUGGCGAAGGCGGCGCACUGGUCCUUUCUGACGCUGAGGCGCGAAAGCCAGGGGAGCAAAGCGGG